AGAAUCAACGCUGGCGGCGUGCCUAACACAUGCAAGUCGAACGAGAAAGUGGAGCAAUCCAUGAGUAAAGUGGCGACCGGGUGAGUAACACGUGACUAACCUACCUUCGAGUGGGGGAUAACCUCGGGAAACCGGGCUAAUACCGCAUAAAAUCUUUGGAUCGGAAGAACUGGAGAUCAAUGGAGCAAUUCGCUUGAAGAGGGGGUCGCGGCUGAUUAGCUAGUUGGCGGGGUAAUGGCCCACCAAGACAGUGAUCGGUA
rnacentral:rRNA from 1 species